UUUUAUUACAUUUAUUAAUUAUUUUUCUAUUGUGUCCAAUCUUAACUGGAAGAAAAGGGUAGGUGCCAAAACAGGAAAGAACAGAGAGACUAUUGAAUUCAAGUUUGCUGAAAUUCUAGGCAGUUCUUCCAGCUUUGCCAUCUCUUGCGGAUUUAUAGUCUAAGGGGAAAUUGACUAUGAAGAAAUCCUUUGAUGAUAAAUAAGCUUAAAAUUAUCUCUAAAAGACUGAUAAUUUCUAGCAUUGGUUUUAAAUUCUGGGGAAAAGACGCAGUCUCACACACUUUGGGGAAUGUAAUUGGUGCUUAUACGUUGUAGGGCUGUAUACAUCGGAAUCUUAAAUUCACAAUAAAUUUCACCUAGCAGUUCCACUAUUUGGAAUUUAUCCUAGAUAAAUAGCUUAAAUGUUAGGAUCGACAUUAAUUCCAUUUCUCCAGCAGUCUUGAAAUAAUUGAGCCACAGCGGUGGUAGAUGGCAAACACAGGAAAGAACAAUACCUCACAGUGAGGCUGAGACCCAGUCCCCUGAUCUGGAAUCAACCAGUCCCGGCGGUGAGAGCGCCAAACUUUAGCCACUAGACUACCAGGGAACCACAAAGCACAUACUUUUUUUUUUUCCUCCUUCAAUUGCUUCAGCAGAAAUUACGCUGACAUUGACCUCUAGAAAGCUCCAUCUACCCUUCCUGGUGCCACCCGCCCAUCCAAGGAAUAGUCCCAAAAGGCUGUCCUCUCCCUGCUUUCUCCAAGUUGCGAGCCCACACGCGACGUGCAGAGCUCUCUCCUUUCCUUCCAGCCAGUGGCGCUCCUCGAACACCUGCCAGGUUUACAAGUCCCGGAGCGAGUUGCAGCGUCCCGGCCGCACCUCACUACCGACCUAAAGAUGCGCCUUUGCUAGGCGGCAGCGCGUGGAGAGACUGUCGCUGGUCGGCGGGGCCAGAGCGCACCAGGCUUCCGGGAGGAGGCUGGAGCGGGGAGGCGCCCGGGGUGAGACCGUGGCACCCUCAACAUCAUAAAGGACUCAGAUUCCUGCAUUCCCGACAUCAUAAACGACUCAGACGGAUGCGGAAACCGAGACGGCCUGGAUGGAAAACUCUUUCAAGGAAGACCCCAGGGCCCUGAACGGAAUUCCGGAUAUUUUCUCUACAACGUACUACACCUGCCUUUUCUCACGUUAGUUAAUGGCAACUCCACCCUCCACACGUUCAGGCCAAAAACUGGACGCAGGUCUUUCUCUCAUGACCCACAUCCGAUUAGUUAGGAAAUUAUGUUCUUUUUUUGGUUGAUUUUUUCAUCUUUCUUCCCUCCCUCCAACCUUUCCUCCCUUCCUUCCUUCUUUCCUUCCUUCUUCCUUUUUUCCUAAGUAAGCUAACACAGGAUCAUGUUUCUUUUUUGGUUAAUUGCAGACUUUGAUCCACACAACUAUUCUCUUUCUUGGUCUGAAUUUUGGCAAACGACAAGCAAGGCAUAGAGAUCGCUUCAACUCGCUACCCGCGGCUCGCCCAGACGUUAGGGUUUUAGGCCGCCGUUAGACUUUGGCCCUGCAGGUCAAAAUCAGCUACUCUAGGCCUGUCUUCUCGGAGGCCAGUAGCAGCACCUGGUCCUCUCCGCGCGGCUUCUCCCGCCGGGUACGCAACCCUGCACCCCUUUCCUGUGACCUGCAGCGAAGCUCGGCGGCAGACCGGGUAUUCAACUGGCCAGGAGUUCUCGAGGCGCAGGUGCGGGUGUGCAGGGACGCGCGCGGUGAGUUUGCAGUUCCUGCCGGCUCCAGCAACAUCCCGGGUCAGUCCGAACUCCGAAGGCGCCAAGGCAGGGAGGGACCAGUAGGUGAAGGGCAGCCGCCCUCUUGCGCCGUUUCAGUCCUCCAGUCGCUGUUGAAUGGAGUUUCCGUCUCCAGUCUCAGCCAAAGCAGGCAAGGCGGACAACCUCGGCCUGGCAACCAGAAGUAUCAUUCCUUGAUUCAGGAUCAGGCUCAAGAGUUAACCCACCUACGGCAGAAGAUGAAGCUUGGGAGAGUGGCCUCUGUUCUUCUCAUCCAGCAUGUCAAGAACACACUAAAGACCUUUGAGGAGCUACUCCAGAGCAAUAACAUUGACCACUAUAUGGAGCAGCACUACUGCAAGCAGCUGGCCAAAGGAAGCCAGCUGGCAGAGAGCCUUGCCAGAAAAUUCAGCACAGAUGACUGUACAAGUAAGAAGAAUCAAGUAGGACAGGUGUCUUCGACUCUCAGUAUCUUGAGGAAGAUGCAUAAUAUGAGUAAAGUGACAGAAGUCCUAGAGACCAAGUGGGAUGCCCGGUCCCAGACUCAGCCCCAGAUCUGGUGCAGCAACCACACCCGGUCUACCCCACAUCACUCCCUGAGCAGCACGUCUCCACAGCUUGACAAGGAGGAAGUGCAUCCUUCAGUGACUGUAGUCAGUACUGCACAGUCCACUGUAGCCCCUCAUUCAUAUACUCAGAGUCACUCUUCUGGCUGUGGUGAGGACAUCCUGUGACAUGAUGCCUAGAGAGUCUGGAAGAAUGUUCUCCAGAACUUUUCCAGCCCUAUCCAACAGAAUUCUUGGGUGGGAACUUGGAGGCAUUGGAUAUU